rnacentral:lncRNA from 12 species
UUGGCGUUGCUCUCAGGGUUGGUCAGAUGAGGGAACAUGAGUUUUCCAUUGUUAGCACGUCUGUAAAUAAGAGCUAGCAAAUGCAUCUUUACAUCUUGGAAAGCGUAUUUACUCUCAUCUGAAGCUGCAUCUCAUAUUUGACCGUUGGCGGGGACCAGAGCAAAGGCGCAAGAAGCUCCUUCACUAGCGAGAAACUGGCCAACUCUCCACCAACUGUGGCCUUGCCUGUCCCGAGACUGAGGAUGUUGGCUGCUUUAGAAGGGACCCGGGUUCCACGCGUUCUUAGAAGUUCUGCGCCCCAUUGCAGUGCCGGGCAUCCAGUAGGAGCUCAAUCAAGGGGACCUCACGGUGUACACAGAAGCUUCAGCAUCUCCCUUGGGUUUGUCUGGAUCAGGGAAAAGGGUGAAGAGUGUCCUGCACUUGGGUCAUCACAGGUUCCCCAAAUCCCAAGUUAAUUGAGGGAGCGGAUUCACUGCAAAGGAGCUGACUGUCCUGGGUUUGCAAGGCUGAAACGAUUCCAUCGCAAGCACUUACGAGAGCAUCGUGUGUUCAAGUGGCUGGCAGGGGUUAUCUCGAGGAGCGGGGAGCUGUGUCAAAACACGGUUUUAGGGGAUCCCUGGAUGGCUCAGCAGUUUAGCACCGUGAUCCUGGAGUCCUGGGACCGAGUCCCACAUCAGGCUCCCUGCAUGGAGCCUGCUUCUGCCUCUGCCUGUGUCUCUGCCUCUCUCUCUCUCUCUCUCUCUCAUGAAUAAAUAAAUAAAAAUCUUUAAAAAAACCA